AACGUAGGAGACAAACGUUAUCCGGAGUUACUGGGCGUAAAGGGCGUGUAGGUGGUUUCGUAAGUCUGGCGUGAAAUUUUUCGGCUUAACCGGGAAAGGUCGUCGGAUACUGCGGAACUAGAGGACGGUAGAGGCGUGUGGAAUUCCGGGUGUAGUGGUGAAAUGCGUAGAGAUCCGGAGGAACCCCAGAGGCGAAGGCGGCGCUCUGGCUCGCAACUGACGCUCAGACACGACAGCAUGGGGAGCGAACGGG
rnacentral:rRNA from 1 species